rnacentral:lncRNA from 10 species
UGGCCAUGUUCCAGAGCCGCCAUGCUAAAGACCUGGCUCUACUGGACAUCUCCGAGAGUGGCUGAGAGUGGAGAUAUUCAGGCAGAGAUGGUGGUGAGGCUACAGGCCAAGACUGGAGGCUGGGCAUGGAUUUACUGCCUGUUAUACUCAGAAGGUCCAGAGGGACCCAUUACUGCCAAUAACUACCCAAUCAGGUAAGCCACAAGCCAGGGGACUAGGGGGCAGCUGAGGUCGUCAUGGAGGAGACACAAAUCAGGGAACUGCUCUGGAUAUGGACGUCGGACCCUUACCAGCUGCCUCUUCUCUCCUCUCCAGUGACAUGGAAG